AUUGAACGCUGGCGGCAUGCUUUACACAUGCAAGUCGAACGGCAGCGCGGGGCAACCUGGCGGCGAGUGGCGAACGGGUGAGUAAUACAUCGGAACGUACCCAGAAGUGGGGGAUAACGUAGCGAAAGUUACGCUAAUACCGCAUACGUUCUACGGAAGAAAGUGGGGGACCUUUGGGCCUCAUGCUUUUGGAGCGGCCGAUGUCUGAUUAGCUAGUUGGUGAGGUAAAGGCUCACCAAGGCGACGAUCAGUAGCUGGUCUGAGAGGACGACCAGCCACACUGGGACUGAGACACGGCCCAGACUCCUACGGGAGGCAGCAGUGGAGAAUUUUGGACAAUGGGCGCAAGCCUGAUCCAGCAAUGCCGCGUGAGUGAAGAAGGCCUUCGGGUUGUAAAGCUCUUUUGUCAGGGAAGAAACGGCUGAGGUUAAUACCUUCGGCUAAUGACGGUACCUGAAGAAUAAGCACCGGCUAACUACGUGCCAGCCGCCGCGGUAA
rnacentral:rRNA from 1 species